CGCGCGGUGAACUCCCACGUGCCCGGCUCCUCGGCGACCAUCUGCCCGCCGAGGAACCCUCCGUCGGACAGCACGCCACGCCGGGUCUCCUCGCCGUACUGGCCGGGCGCGAGCUUCUCGACCUUGCCGUGAGCGAUCAGGUAGACGUGGUCGACGGCCCGGCCCUGCCCGGCUAUCACCUGGCCGGGUUCAUACUCCCGCUGCUCGCACCGCUCGGCCAGGGCCCGCAGCACCGCCUGGUCGUCGAAGCCGCUCAGCAGCGGCAGUUCGCCCAGCUCGGCGGGGACGACCUUGACCGCGACCCCCUCCUGGACGAACGUCACCCGGCCGUCCCCGAACUCGUACACCAGCCGCCGGUUGACCCGGUACGUGCCGCCCUUCACCUCCACCCAGGGCAGCAUCCGCAGCAGCCACCGUGAGCUGAGGCCCUGCAUCUGCGGCACGGUCUUGGUGGUGGUCGCCAGGUUCCGCGCGGCGGCGAUCCCGAGACUGAGCUGUGCCCUGCCU
rfam:Streptomyces cellostaticus strain DSM 40189 genomic scaffold PRJNA299219_s003, whole genome shotgun sequence.